rnacentral:rRNA from 1 species
AACGGCUGGCGGCGUGCCCUAACACAUGCAAGUCGAGCGAGGAGAUCCUUCGGGAUGAUCCUAGCGGCGGACGGGUGAGUAACACGUGGGCAACCUGCCUCAUAGAGAGGAAUAGCCUUCCGAAAGGAGAUUAAUACCUCAUAACAUUGCAGUUUCGCAUGGAACAGCAAUUAAAGGAGCAAUCCGCUAUGAGAUGGGGCCCGCGGCGCAUUAGCUAGUUGGUGAGGUAACGGCUCACCAAGGCGACGAUGCGUAGCCGACCUGAGAGGGUGAUCGGCCACAUUGGGACUGAGACACGGCCCAGACUCCUACGGGAGGCAGGCAGUGGGGAAUAUUGCACAAUGGGGGAAACCCUGAUGCAGCCAACGCCGCGUGAGUGAUGACGGCCUUCGGGUUGUAAAGCUCUGUCUUCAGGGACGAUAAUGACGGUACCUGAGGAGGAAGCCACGGCUAACUACGUGCCAGCAGCAGC